rnacentral:lncRNA from 1 species
ACCUGUGCCUGCUCCGUCCGGGAGGCUACACCUGUGCCUGUCCUGAAGGCACCAGCUUUGUACCCGGCAGCAACACCGAAUGUGACACAGGGUUCGAGCCUCCUCCCACUAUGCCCCCACCAUGUCAGUGUCAAAACGGCGGCACAUGCUACUUUGACGACAAUAACGCCCUUUGCAAUUGCCCUGCCGCAUGGUUUGGGCAAUUUUGUGAAAUUAGCAAAUCCGGCCUGUUGGCUACAUCAGCUGGAAUCGCCAUCGGAGUCACUGUGCUGAUAAUUGUCCUGCUUGUUGCGUUUGUUUACUCUGCUCGCAAGAAGCCUGACCUCAUUGAAAGGUUACGGGCCAGUCUUCCCAGCAUGCCCUCAAUGCCCUCCAUGCCCUCCAUGCCCUCCAUGCCAAAUCUGUCACGCUUCAGAAAUGAUUCACCUUCUGAUAACGCGAGGACAGAGAUGAAUGCCAGCAGUGUGAAUGCUGCUGAAGCGGUGCCAGUGCUCAAUCUGUCAGGAGGGGACAAGAGUUUUGAGAACCCAGCCUAUGAAGCUGAAACACAGCCUUCUGCAUCG